rnacentral:rRNA from 1 species
UACGUAGGGCGCAAGCGUUAUCCGGAAUUAUUGGGCGUAAAGAGCUCGUAGGCGGCUUGUCGCGUCGAAUGUGAAAUCUCAGGGCUCAACUCUGACAUUGCAUUCGAUACGGGCAGGCUAGAGUUCGGUAGGGGAGACUGGAAUUCCUGGUGUAGCGGUGAAAUGCGCAGAUAUCAGGAGGAACACCAAUAGCGAAGGCAGCUCGCUGGGACGUUACUGACACUGAGGCGCGACAGCGUGGGGAGCAAACAGG